GGGCUCACACAAGCGGUGGAGCAUGUGGCUCAAUUCGAAGCAACGCGAAGAACCUUAUCCUGGGUUUGACAUGCAUGGAUUAGUGCGUGGAAACACGCAUGACACUCUCGUAGUGGAACAUGCACAGGUGCUGCAUGGCUGUCGUCAGCUCGUGCUGUGAAGUGUCGCGUUAAGUCGCUUAACGAGCGAAACCCCUAUCACUAGUUGCCAACGGGUCAUGCCGGGGACUCUAGUGAGACUGCCGGUGUUAAACCGGAGGAAGGUGGGGAUGACGUCAAGUCCUCAUGGCCUUUAUGCCCAGGGCUGCACACGUGCUACAAUGGUGCGAACAGAACGAUGCAAGACCGCAAGGUGGAGCAAAUCGCUUAAAUCGCACCCCAGUUCGGAUUGAGGGCUGCAACCCGCCCUCAUGAAGUCGGAAUCGCUAGUAAUCGCGGAUCAGCUACGCCGCGGUGAAUAUGUUCCUGAGCCUU
rnacentral:rRNA from 1 species